UUCCCUGCAGGUUAUUUUUGGUUAACUGAGUUGCUGCAGAAAUUCAUAAGACAUACAAUGUAAGCGAUUUGAAAUUACAAUAAACUGAUAAAACACGCUAAAAAUGUAACCUUUCAUAGCAGCUGAAAACAAACCAAAUUUGAAAGUGAAGUGACAUUCAGCCAAGUGUGACCCAUACUCAGAAUUUGUGCUCUGCAUUUAACCCAUCCGAAAUGCACACACGCAGUGAACACACACACACACACUGUGAGCACACAGCCGAUUUUGUAAUGAGGGGAUUGAGUGUUACUGUAAAUUCUGCGUGUUUUAAUGAGCGCGCGCUGAACAUUGGAGCGCGUUCAUUCAGAUUCAAACACUGGAGCGGAGGGAGUUGGCAUGGAAACGGGCGGUCGACAACACUGGCAAGCUGCACGCUCCGUCUCUCGCUGCUGUUUUCACUGAUUUCGAAAUGUUUAAGUGUUUUCGAACAAGUCCGUGAGCAUCUGAACCUUUAUCAGAGGAGAUUCUUCUAGUGCUUGAUGAUCUUCUGCAUCCCAUGAUGAGCAAACCUCCUGUCCAACAACAUCUCCAAGGCACACUGAUCCAUAUGACUAGCAGCGAAAUAUACAUUGUGGACCAAAGAGGAAACUGACAACACACAGACAGAAGAAGAUAGAGAAGGUCACUUCUGAUCCAUCAAAGUCCUCAUCUUCUGUGUCUGAGUUGAACAGCUGGGCAACAGCUUUUGAACAGCUUUCUUCAUCAAACAUGCCGGGUUCCCUCUCAUCAUGGUUGAUCGCUGCCAGCGUACGUAGUGUACGUAUUAUGUCCCUGUGUCAGCGGGAAAUGGUCCGACAGUCAGAUGACUGUUGUGAAGAUGGAAGAGUGCAGGAUCUACAAUUACACUAAUAAUAACAUUUUUGAAGUAGUUUGAUUUUGUUUCGCUUUCUGCCAUGUUUUGAAUGUGAUGCUCAGCCUACAACCCAAUGAUUGUGUUUGUAUUAUUAUUUUUUUAAUCAACAAUUAAAAAAUGACAAAACAAUGGACUGUAAGCUGAUUAUUUCUAUACAGUCGUAUGUUAUUAAAGUAAAUUAAAUUGUUAGUUGAAUGCUAGAAAUAACGUUCUGGGAUUAAUAAAACUCCUGGCAAACCAAAAACAAACCAUAAAAAAUAACGUUCUGGGAACCAAAAACUAACGUUCUGAGAACGUUAAGAAAACUUUCCUGGCAAACUAAAAACAAACCAUAAAAACUAGCGUUCUGGGAACCAAACACUAACAUUCAGAAAACUUUCUGGGAACCAAAAACUAACGUUCUGAGAACGUUCUGGGAACCAAAAACUAACGUUCUGAGAACAUUCUGGGAACCAAAAACUAACGUUCUGAGAACGUUAAGAAAACUUUCCUGGCAAACUAAAAACAAACCAUAAAAACUAACGUUCUGGGAACCAAACACUAACAUUCGGAAAACUUUCUGGGAACCAAAAACUAACGUUCUGAGAACGUUCUGGGAACCAAAAACUAACGUUCUGAGAACGUUCUGGGAACC